AAUGAACGCUGGCGGCAUGCCUAACACAUGCAAGUCGAACGAAGGCUUCGGCCUUAGUGGCGCACGGGUGCGUAACCCGUGGGAAUCUGCCCUCAGGUUCGGAAUAACAGCGAGAAAUUGCUGCUAAUACCGGAUGAUAUCGCUAGAUCAAAGAUUUAUCGCCGGAGGAUGAGCCCGCGUAGGAUUAGCUAGUUGGUGUGGUAAAGGCGCACCAAGGCGACGAUCCUUAGCUGGUCUGAGAGGAUGAUCAGCCAAACUGGGACUGAGACACGGCCCAGACUCCUACGGGAGGCAGCAGUGGGGAAUAUUGGACAAUGGGCGAAAGCCUGAUCCAGCAAUGCCGCGUGAGUGAUGAAGGCCUUAGGGUUGUAAAGCUCUUUUACCCGGGAUGAUAAUGACAGUACCGGGAGAAUAAGCUCCGGCUAACUCCGUGCCAGCCGCCGCCGUAA
rnacentral:rRNA from 1 species